rnacentral:tRNA from 1 species
GCGGGAAUGGCGGAAUUGGCAGACGCGCUAGAUUCAGGUUCUAGUGAGCAUUUCGCUCAUGCAGGUUCAAGUCCUGUUUCCCGCACCA